UCGAUAGCUCAGUCGGUAGAGCAGAGGACUGAAAAUCCUCGUGUCGCUGGUUCGAUUCCAGCUCGAGC
rnacentral:tRNA from 1 species